rnacentral:rRNA from 2 species
CUUUAAUUGUGAUGGAGUGACGGAGAAGGAUAAGCAUACCUAUUAUUGGAUUUAGGGGUAAGUAGUUACUGGUGAUUGUAGGCAAAUCCGCAAUCUAUAACUGGGAGCUAUGAUGCAUAGGACUUUUGUCUGAAUUUGCCAAUUCCAUGCUUCCUAGAAAAGUUUCUAAACUUAAUUUUAUUGAAACCUGUACCAAGAACGGACACACGUCCCCAAGAUGAGUAUUCUAAGGCGAGCGAGAAAACUAGUGUUAAGGAACUCUGCAAAAUGACCCCGUAAGUUCGCAAGAAGGGGCGCCUAUGGUAACACAUAGGCCACAGUAAAUUAUGAGGGGCAACUGUUUAUCAAAAACACAACUCUCUGCUAAACCGCAAGGUGAUGUAUAGGGGGUGAAGCCUGCCCAGUGCCCGAAGGUUAAGUGGAUGCGUUAG